GGCUUCCGAGUUGCGACUCCAGCCCCAGCCCCAGCCUGCGAGGGCGCGUGCGCGCGGCGGCGGCGUGGGCUCGCAAGGCUCUUCCUCCCUCCCUCCCGCGCCGGGCACUUCCGGGCCGGCCCGGAUCCGUCGCCGGGUUUUGGAAGCCACCGCCGCUCCCUGCGCCAGGCGCUGGGCUCUCAGCAGGGCGCGUCCGCCCACCGGCCGCUGUGGAGAGGAUGAGUUACCUCGCCUGGCGGGGAUCUCCUACGACCCAGCCUUAAACUUUCCUUACCUAAAAAGCCCACUGAUAACGCCUCUUAAAUCGAGAGACGUAGGGUGCGAAAGGAGGCCAACUGUUUCUCCGUACGAUUUCCUUGAGGUUGUAGCAGACUAGAAAGCCAAUAUGCAACUUUUACUGAACCCUUGUUGCGAGCCCGUAACUAUGUGAAAGGCUAGAACAAAAACAGCAGUGUACGUCUCCAGCUAGAAAUACAGACAACUCUGGGUAGGCAAAUGAAGUGCCACAGUGGAACGGUUUUCGGUUAGAGAAGAUGAGCCUCAAAAGGAAGUCUCAGGCCUAGGAAGGGAGGGGGUCCGCCGAGAGGCAGCCGAGGUUGCUUGCAAAGCUCUGAACAGGUGGCAUCCCAUGACUGACUUGGGUAAAUUAUGCUGUAUCUAAGCAAAUGUCUGAAGAGAUGAGGAGACUGCCUUAUGGAGUUUAAAGAAAGGUGAAAACAGAACGUCAUUCAGCAUUCGUGAGAGAAAACUUGUAGCUGCCAAGAAUAUUCUCCUUUAAAGAGGUUUGAGGGACCAAAACAGGCACGAAUAACAUUGAAGGACCCCCGCCCCCAUUCCUUUCACUUUAACAGCGCAUCAGUGAACUGUUUACCUCCUUUCCCCCAAAAAAAGAGAGGUGGAAGAAAAACAUUAUUUUGAGCACUGUAAUCAAAGACCUGUACGAUCUUUUUAAAUCCUCUCAACUUCAUUGCAGUUCCAAGGUGGAGAUUAUUCCCACCUUACAGAUAAAGCAACUGAGGAUCAGAAGUAAUAAGUAACUCAUUCAAGGGUGAGUGGAGUUUGAAUACUGGGAAAGCAGAUUUCCCUCGCUUCAAAUUAAUACUACUUUAACUACCUUAUUCAACGUAUUUAACACCCAAAACGUGUGGGAUACAACCAGCAUCAAAGAUUUUCAGAAAAAAAGGAGACUGAAAGUUUUUUUAGAAACAUGAAGUGCAUCAUGUCUUGCUUGCUCAUCCCAGUACAUCAAUGCCUCAUAUAGCACUGAAUAUCCAGCGAACUUAUUACAUGUUUGUGGCAAAAACCAGUAACUUUAUCUCAGGGUCAAAAUCCGUUGCCUUUGAUGAGAUGGAAGUAUCUUGCUCAGAGGAAUGUCACCAAAAUAGAAGACUCAGAAAGAGAGAGACAGAGCAUGAAUGGGGGAAGGUCAGAGAGAGAGGGAGACACAGAACCUGAAACAAGCUCCAGGCUCCGAGCUGUCAGCACAGAGCCUGACGCGGGGCUCGAACUCACGGACCGCGAGAUCAUGACCUGAGCUGAAGUCAGACGCCCAACCGACUGAGCCACCCAGGCGCCCCGUUAAUUCUGUUUUAGAUGGUGAGCUGAGGAAUAAGGAACCUAAAUUAAUUGUUUGACUGCCUGGCCACUUUUUGGGAAUUGAACACCUGCAGUAGUGUCCUCUCCUUCAUGUACCUCACAGUGUUUCAAUGCAGUUCACUUGCUGCGCCAGGACCCUGAUGAAUGUUUAUGGUUUGAGUGAAUUGGAGCCCACCAGCAUUGCCAAAACACCUGGAAGGGAUGUGCAUGGAAGAGAAGAGUGUUCUAUGUUAUAUAUCUAUUUAAGGUAAAUAACUAUUUAAACAAAAAAGAAGAGGAAGGUCAUCAUUUACAGCACUAUUUUCUCAGCAUUACAAUUUUCACUGCUUU